rnacentral:lncRNA from 1 species
AAAAAAAACUUAUUUGCUUAAUGUAUUUAAAUAUGCCCACAGCUCAUUGCUACCUAUAAUACUUACUUCUUGCAACUUAAAAAAUUAGGCAAAAUUACAAUGUCUCAAAUUUAGACGAUUCUCAUAUGCCAACUCACACCUCCUGUCCAAAUGUUUGCUUCCCGAUACCACUCGUUAAUUUAUCCGCUCACAGGACCAGCCUAGCUCUCAUGGCAAUCAGGAUUGAUGCCGUAUAUGAAAUCACUUGUGUGACAGGCAAAUCUUGUGUAUUGGCCACUGGUCGAGUGAAGCAGUGAAGUAUUUUUCUUCCUCGGAUGCUGCGCUCCCAUAGAUGACUUAUUUCUCUGGGG